rnacentral:rRNA from 1 species
AUCUUCGGACCUUGCGCUAAUAGAUGAGCCUAAGUCGGAUUAGCUAGUUGGUGGGGUAAAGGCCUACCAAGGCGACGAUCUGUAGCGGGUCUGAGAGGAUGAUCCGCCACACUGGGACUGAGACACGGCCCAGACUCCUACGGGAGGCAGCAGUGGGGAAUAUUGGACAAUGGGCGCAAGCCUGAUCCAGCCAUGCCGCGUGUGUGAAGAAGGCCUUUUGGUUGUAAAGCACUUUAAGCGAGGAGGAGGCUCCUUUAGUUAAUACCUAAAGUGAGUGGACGUUACUCGCAGAAUAAGCACCGGCUAACUCUGUGCCAGCAGCCGCGGUAAUACAGAGGGUGCGAGCGUUAAUCGGAUUUACUGGGCGUAAAGCGUGCGUAGGCGGCUUUUUAAGUCGGAUGUGAAAUCCCUGAGCUUAACUUAGGAAUUGCAUUCGAUACUGGAGAGUUAGAGUAUGGGAGAGGAUGGUAGAAUUCCAGGUGUAGCGGUGAAAUGCGNUAGANGAUGCUGGAGGAAUACCGNAUGGCGAAGGCAGCCAUCUGGCCUAAUACUGACGCUGAGGUACGAAAGCAUGGGGAGCAAACAGGAUUAGAUACCCUGGUAGUCCAUGCCGUAAACGAUGUCUACUAGCCGUUGGGGCCUUUGAGGCUUUAGUGGCGCAGCUAACGCGAUAAGUAGACCGCCUGGGGAGUACGGUCGCAAGACUAAAACUCAAAUGAAUUGACGGGGGCCCGCACAAGCGGUGGAGCAUGUGGUUUAAUUCGAUGCAACGCGAAGAACCUUACCUGGCCUUGACAUACUAAGAACUUUCCAGAGAUGGAUUGGUGCCUUCGGGAACUUAGAUACAGGUGCUGCAUGGCUGUCGUCAGCUCGUGUCGUGAGAUGUUGGGUUAAGUCCCGCAACGAGCGCAACCCUUUUCCUUAUUUGCCAGCGGGUCAUGCCGGGAACUUUAAGGAUACUGCCAGUGACAAACUGGAGGAAGGCGGGGACGACGUCAAGUCAUCAUGGCCCUUACGGCCAGGGCUACACACGUGCUACAAUGGUCGGUACAAAGGGUUGCUACCUCGCGAGAGGAUGCUAAUCUCAAAAAGCCGAUCGUAGUCCGGAUCGCAGUCUGCAACUCGACUGCGUGAAGUCGGAAUCGCUAGUAAUCGCGGAUCAGAAUGCCGCGGUGAAUACGUUCCCGGGCCUUGUACACACCGCCCGUCACACCA